CUACGGGGGGCAGCAGUGAGGAAUAUUGCACAAUGGGGGGAACCCUAAUGCAGCAACGCCGCGUGGAGGAUGACGCAUUUCGGUGUGUAAACUCCUUUUAUAUGUCAAGAAAAUGACGGUAGCAUAUGAAUAAGCACCGACUAACUCCGUGCCAGCAGCCGCGGUAAUACGGAGGGUGCAAGCGUUACUCGGAAUCACUGGGCGUAAAGGACGCGUAGGCGGGUUGGAAAGUCAGGUGUGAAAUCCUACAGCUUAACUGUAGAACUGCACUUGAAACUUCUAAUCUAGAGUAUGGGAGGGGGAGAUGGAAUUAGUGGUGUAGGGGUAAAAUCCGUAGAUAUCACUAGGAAUACCUAAAGCGAAGGCGAUCUCCUGGAACAUUACUGACGCUAAGGCGUGAAAGCGUGGGGAGCAAACAGGAUUAGAUACCCCAGUAGUC
rnacentral:rRNA from 1 species